AGCUUGCUCUUGAUGACGAGUGGCGCACGGGUGAGUAACGCGUAUGCAAUCUACCUAUAACUGAGGGAUAGCCCAGAGAAAUUUGGAUUAAUACCUCAUAAUAAUAUUUUUUGGCAUCAUUAAAUAUUUAAAACCCCGGUGGUUAUAGAUGAGCAUGCGUUCUAUUAGUUUGUUGGUGAGGUAAAGGCUCACCAAGACUACGAUAGAUAGGGGGCCUGAAAGGGUGAUCCCCCACACUGGUACUGAGACACGGACCAGACUCCUACGGGAGGCAGCAGUGAGGAAUAUUGCACAAUGGAGGGAACUCUGAUGCAGCCAUGCCGCGUGCAGGAUGACGGCCCUAUGGGUUGUAAACUGCUUUUUUACAAGAAGAAACCUUGGUACGUGUACCAACUUGACGGUAUUGUAAGAAUAAGCACCGGCUAACUCCGUGCCAGCAGCCGCGGUAAUACGGAGGGUGCAAGCGUUAUCCGGAUUUAUUAGGUUUAAAGGGUUCGCAGGCGGAAUUUUAAGUCAGUGGUGAAAGCCUAUAGCUCAACUAUAGAACUGCCAUUGAUACUGA
rnacentral:rRNA from 1 species